AAACACACUGUAACACCGAGUUAGACACCCCCUCCAGAGAUGAAUGUUGCCAACCGCUUGCUUCUCUAGUUAUACCAACUUUAGUAACACAGCGGUCUGAGGAGCCGUAAACAAACCUAAAUCAAAACGCCACUCCAUAGCCACAAAUAAUGCUCAGAACAGCACCUAACUUCAUCAACAGUACAUAUAGGGUCCCAGCCAUAGGACAAGCCACUAAACAUCUUUUUAACUUUGACUAAUUUCUUUAGCAAAGAGACUAAACACAACUCACCUACUCUCUUUAAGCAGCCGCUUGUUUGUACGGAGACCUCAGGCCAGUUCAUGAUGGACUACAGCUGGGUGACGCAGCUCAAGGAAGAACAUUUACGAUCAUUUCUUCAUGGAAAUGCAAUCAGGGUCCAGAAUGGCAGGCGGAUCAGAUCCGUGAGCCCACAGCAUCCACUGGAUCCAAUCCACCGUGGCCAUCGGAGGAGAAGCUUUCUCAUGAGCUCUCGCGUGUUUCCCCGGGAGUCAUAUAAUGAGAUCUGCCAAUCAGUGUUUAUAAACGGCACAUCCCAAAACCCUGGCCUCUCCUUUUAUCAAGUUAAUAACAGUUCAACUUAUUUACUUUCUUUUAUUUUGAAAUUAACCUGAUAUUUUACUCUGUAACUGCAUACAACUUCCACUGCUGCUCGUGCUGCACUGAAUUGAUGCGCCAUGCUCCGGCAUCCAGCAAAAAUAGAAGCUUUGCGUAUCUGAUCUGCAGCGGAGCCAAACGCCAGACGGAUUCUGUGGAAUAACACACAUUGAUUACAAUGCUCGUGGAUUUGAUCCGCCGGCCAUGCCGGAGCGGAGCGGAGCCGUUCUGGACCAUGUGGGUCUUGCCCGUAAGGCAGAAGAACUACUGCGUCUGCAGUGCAAAAUGAUAAAUAUGGUGAUUAUUACUUCAAGGAAAUGAUAAAGAAAUUAGUCAAAGUUAAAAAGAUGUUUGGUGGCUAGUACUAUGGCUGGGACCCUAUAUGUACUGUUGAUAAAGUUAGGUGCUGUUCUGAGCAUUAUUUGUGGCUAUAGAGUGGCGUUUUGGUUGAGUGCGUGGCUAUCUGUAUUGCUAUCCUGCGUAGGGUGACCAGAUUUCUGUAAUGGAAUCCGGGGAUCCUAAAUUAAUUUUACGCCAGAAUAUCCCUUUAAGUUGACUUCAGAUAAAUGCAUGAACCUGUUUUCUCCGGUGUCAUCUUAAAGGUUUAGGUCUGAGUUUACAAUGACAUUGUCAGUGGUUUUAUGGUUAAAUCAGUGGCUGUGGGAAAUUGGGCUGCAGCUUCCCCUGUUGGAAGAGGCAGAUAUAAAAUUAAUAAAUAAAAUAAACACAUUAAAAGGUUUUUAUUAUUUGCACACUAACCUGUUCAGGAACGUGUUGUCUAUUUGUAGCCUAAUUGUCUGCUGUGCGGUAAAACUGGCGCACUUCAUAAUUUGCUGACAUUAAAACCCCAAUACCCAGGCCCUGUGUGUGUGUGUGUGUGUGUGUGUGUGUGUGUGUGUGUGUGUGUGUGUGUGUGUGUGUGUGUGUGUGUGUGUGUGCGCGCGCAUGUGUGUGUGUUUGUGUGUGUGUGCUGUAAAAUGAAGUGCACUGGGGUAAUUUCAGUUCACUUUUGGACCUGCUCCAUCUGUUUGGUUUGUAAGCCUCUGCCUAAAAGGGUGUGGUUGUUGCAAACAGGAUAUUUCAUACGUGUCACAUUACAUAAGGCUGGGGAGUUACAAACAUAGCGUUUGUUUUAAAGCUUGAUAAAUAAAAAAGUGUGUGCAUCAUCAUCAUCAUAACCUAUCAGCCAAAACAUGCACAUCAAACUCAAAGCCUCUUUUUCUGAUUGCGACAGCUGAACUGUUUUUCUGAGGGUGUUAAAAAUAAAAAACUUUGACUGCAUCGGUUAUGUGCAAAGAAAACAAGCCCAAAUACUCCUGAUUUUAUACCCAAAUGCACAGAAAGCCAGUAGAGGAGCACUGACUGCCAGUGGUGAAUAUGAGUGACAGAAAUUACUGGCAGAAAAACACCCCGUUCACACGUUUUAGUGUCCUGAAAAAUAUUUUUCCUCACUAUGUAUGAAAACCAGUAAAAAACCCAAUCUGAGCAGAUAAAGCUGAUAGAAAGUGAGAGGUUGUAAAAGCUCAUCUCUCUGUUUUUAAGACAUGAAAUAAAACCAGCAUGAACAAAAAAGCAGAGAUGGGAUCUGAGAGGAUGUUUCCUCUCUCUUUUGUCUGAGACAAACCUCAUUCAGGCCUCAGUGAAAGGUUUAUCAAAGAGGGUCAGAGAGUCGGAAUAACCUCAUAAUUUCACUGGAAUAAAUCAACAGAAUGAUUUCAGAAAGUUAAUUAAGUCCGCGUCUGGUUCCCAGCUGUCUUUUGUAAAUGUGGUUAUGCAGGAAUUGUCAUUCAGUUUGCAUAAAUGAACAAACUCUUUCACUGAAGAGACCUUUUAACACCGAGAGCUGACCUAAGGCUCAAACUCAGGUUUCUACAGGUGAGGCUUUUGUUUCCUCCUCCUGAUGGAAGUUCAGAGCCGCGUUGGAGAAAAGAUUCACUCAAAGAAACGUGUUUUUCUUUCCCCUCUGGCGUUAAUCAUGAAAAAUUACUCGUUUAGCUCUAAAGGGCGUCUUUGCCUUUUUUCUCUCCCUGCGUAUGUGUUUUUGGCUUUAUUCCACUUUCCUCAGUCCUCAUUCAUCAUCCUUAUCGUCAGCUCUGCACCUUUUGUUCUUAUAAGACACAGUUUAUAUGUUUUUGUUCGGAAGGCUGACAACUGUUAAAGGAAAGGUUUGAGGACCAGCACAUAGUCAGAGCCUGUCUGUUUAUCACUGCAAAUAUAAAACCAUUAAUCAAGUAAUGAGUGGGUCAAUGUGUCGGUCAUGCUGCUGUUAAAGUUGAACAAUAUUUACAGGUUUAGGCGCUUCAGGACUCUGUAGUUGGAGUCACCACAUGGGCUUAAAGGGGUAUUCUGCCAUAUGGUGAAACACACCUUAACACAGAGUUAGACUCCCCCUCCAGAGAUGAAUGUUGCCGACCGCUUGCUUCUCAAGAUAUACAAACUUUAGUAAAGACCACAGGAUAGCAAUACAGAGAGCCACGCGCCCAACCAAAACGCCACUCUAUAGCCACAAAUAUUGCUCAGAGCAGCACCUAACUUCAUCAACAGGACAUAUAGGGUCCCAGCCAUAGCACUAGCCAUCAAACAUCUUUUUAACUUUGACUAAUUUCUUUAGCAAAGAGACUAAACACAACUCACCUACUCUCUUCCAGCAGCCACUUGUUUUUAGCAAGACCUCAGGCCAGUCCAUUACGGACUACAGCGGGGUGACGCAGCUCAAGGAAGAACAUUUAUGAUCAUUUCUUCAUGGAAAUGCAAUCAGACCAAGACGCUAAGACAGAAGAACCACCGCAUCUGCCGUGCAAAAUGAUUAAUAUUGUGAUUAUUACUUCAAGGAAAUGAUAAAGAAAUGAUCAUAAAUGUUCUUCCUCAAAACUAAAGAUAAGGAAACACCGGAGGGUUAGGUUAAAAUAAAUAAAAUGAAAUAAAAACAACAGUAAAAGAUACUAAAAUAAGAGCACCAAAAUAGCACAAUAAAAAACGAUCCUGUUUUUAAAAAUAGAAAGAGAUAAAUGCUAAACACUAUGAUAAUAAUGAGAUAAAAAUCUUAGAUGGUAACAGCCCAACCAAGUAAGCUUGUUAAAAGAGAAAAAGAUCACAUGGGAAAAGUGAGACGACUUGGACCAAAACCGUGUUAAAUUCCACUUUAAAGAUCAGCAUUUUUAAUGGUUGUUAUGGGACUCCUUGGCUUUUGGUGCCAGCCUCUUGUGGACACUUGAGGAACUGCAGUUUUUUAUUACCUUUACUUUGUCAGGACCUGAGACCUACAGUAGAAGAAACUGAUCUAAAGUCCUCUUUCUUGAUCAUGAAAGUACUCUCACCUUUAGAUGACAGUUUGAACUUUCAGAUGUUUUUCCAGUGUUUCUUUCAAAUGUUCAUGCUGCGCCCCGUUAGUGAAGCUGCUCUCAGUUUUAAUGGCUCUAAACUGUGGAUCACCCUCCCUUUGGAUCUCAGAAAAGAAAACAACCUUUAAAUUUUUUUAAAAAGAAAUUCAAGACCCAGAUUCAGACACCGCUGAGGCAGACAGAGCCGUUAUCGGGAAGUAGAUGAAAAAUGGCAACACAUCCAUUCAGGUUAUCUUAAUUAGUCUCACUAGACAUCCCAACUGG